rnacentral:antisense_RNA from 1 species
AAAAAACCCCGCCGGAGCGAGGUUUCGUCAGUCGCCUGCGGCUGGUAACCGCAAAGCACACUGUAUUAUGUCAACACUGAAAGUAUACGUGUUCCGCGCAGAACGCGCAAUUUCGGCACGAAUUUUGACGUAUUUAGUGC